UAAACGAGGAUUAGAUACCCUCUUAUACUUAGAAGUAACUUUUUAAGGUAGUAGUUGAUAUAGUCUUGAAACCUAAAGGGUAUGGCGGUUUCUAAUUUAAUCAGAGGAACCUGCCCAGUAAGCGAUAACCCACGUUUUAUCUUACCCUUCUUAGGUUUGUAUACCGUCGUCUAGGUCUUAUUAAAAGAUAGGGCUUUAAGCAGCGAUAAGUAAGUCAGACCCAGGCGCAGCUUAAAAGGGUUGAGGUGGGUUACAAUUAAGCUCUUAGUGGAAAAAAGGCUAAGCCUUUUUGGAAAUUGGAUUUGAAAGUAACUUAAGUUUAACAAACU
rnacentral:rRNA from 1 species